rnacentral:tRNA from 1 species
GGGGAUGUGGCUCAGUGGUGAAAGUUCUUUCCUUGCAGGCUGAAGGCCCUGGGUUCGAUCCCCAGCACCACCA